rnacentral:rRNA from 1 species
UACGUAGGGUGCAAGCGUUAAUCGGAAUUACUGGGCGUAAAGCGUGCGCAGGCGGUUGUGCAAGACAGAUGUGAAAUCCCCGGGCUCAACCUGGGAACUGCAUUUGUGACUGCACGGCUGGAGUGCGGCAGAGGGGGAUGGAAUUCCGCGUGUAGCAGUGAAAUGCGUAGAUAUGCGGAGGAACACCGAUGGCGAGGCAAUCCCCUGGCCUGCACUGACGCUCAUGCACGAAGCGUAGGGA